rnacentral:rRNA from 1 species
UACGAAGGGGGGCUAGCGUUGUUCGGAAUUACUGGGCGUAAAGCGCACGUAGGCGGAUUGUUAAGUGAGGGGUGAAAUCCCAGGGCUCAACCCUGGAACUGCCUUUCAUACUGGCAAUCUCGAGUCCGAGAGAGGUGAGUGGAAUUCCGGGUGGAGCGGUGAAAUGCGUAGAGAUCCGGAGGAACACCGACGGCGCAGGCAGCGUCCUGGCCGCUUGCUGACACUGAGGCACGAAAGCUGGGGGAGCAAACAGG